GACGAACGCUGGCGGCGUGCUUAACACAUGCAAGUCGAACGGAAAGGCCCUGCUUUUGUGGGGUGCUCGAGUGGCGAACGGGUGAGUAACACGUGAGUAACCUGCCCUUGACUUUGGGAUAACUUCAGGAAACUGAGGCUAAUACCGGAUAGGAGCUCCUGCUGCAUGGUGGGGGUUGGAAAGUUUCGGCGGUUGGGGAUGGACUCGCGGCUUAUCAGCUUGUUGGUGAGGUAGUGGCUUACCAAGGCUUUGACGGGUAGCCGGCCUGAGAGGGUGACCGGCCACAUUGGGACUGAGAUACGGCCCAGACUCCUACGGGAGGCAGCAGUGGGGAAUAUUGCACAAUGGGCGGAAGCCUGAUGCAGCAACGCCGCGUGCGGGAUGACGGCCUUCGGGUUGUAAACCGCUUUCGCCUGUGACGAAGCGUGAGUGACGGUAAUGGGUAAAGAAGCACCGGCUAACUACGUG
rnacentral:rRNA from 1 species